rnacentral:rRNA from 1 species
UACAGAGGUCCCAAGCGUUGUUCGGAUUCACUGGGCGUAAAGGGUGCGUAGGUGGUGAGGUAAGUCGGAUGUGAAAUCUCCGGGCUCAACCCGGAAAUGGCAUUGGAAACUACCUUGCUGGAGGAUUUGAGGGGGGAUUGGAAUACUUGGUGUAGCAGUGAAAUGCGUAGAUAUCAGGAGGAACACCCGUGGCGAAAGCGGCUCUCUGGGACGGUACUGACACUGAGACACGAAAGCCAGGGGAGCAAACGGG